UGAAUCCGGGCGGUUAGAAUUCAGAAUCGCCGGUGGCGUUUUCGCGCGUCAUCGACGAUUUGAUAUUUCUGCCGCCGCUUUAAAACACGGACGUCGCAACCCGUUCGACGUUGGUCUCGGGAGCCGCGCUUUACGUUCGCCGUUUUCGAGCGCGUUUACGCGUGUUCGUUGCGACGAGUGCGCGGUCUUUUCCGGCCAACUUGUUUGACGGUAUGUAACGAGCGGUAGGCGGUGUUCCGUGUCCUUUGUGGCGCGGCACCGAAACCGGUUAGCGACGAAUCUUCGGGCCUCUUUCCGACCCGUCUUGAAACACGGACCAAGGAGUCUAACGUGUGCGCGAGUCGCGGGGUAUCGAGUCGUUUUUCCGCUUCACGGCGGAGGGCGGCUCGUUACAAUACGAAACCCGUUACAACUCUGUGCAAGGCGUAAUGAAAGUGAAUUUUGGGGAAAUGGUGUUUCCGAGU
rnacentral:rRNA from 1 species